ensembl:lncRNA
CCCCCAGGAUACAUUAUAAUCCCCCAGGCUACAUUAUAAUCCACCCAGGCUACAUUAUAAUCCCCCAGGCUACAUUACAAUCCACCCAGGCUACAUUAUAAUCCCCCAGGCUACAUUAUAAUUCACCCAGGCUACAUUAUAAUCCCCCCCCCAGGCUACAUUACAUUCACCAGGCUACAUUAUAAUCCCACCCAGGCUACAUUAUAAUCCCCCCAGGCUACAUUAUAAUCCACCCAGGCUACCAGUAUGUCAGAACUGCAGUACUAUUUGUCAAAACGAGUGAAAAUUUGGGUUUCAUGAUUAGAGUAGAGUCAAGUUUCCCCUAAAGACUGAUCUUGAGUCAGUCUGGCGUUUCUCCCCAUUAAUGUUUUGUGUAAAGCUUGGGGGAGGGGAAGCUAAUCCUAGGUCUGUACCUAGGGGAAGCUGAUCCUAGGUCUGUCCCUAGGGGAAGCUGAUCCUAGGUCUGUCCCUAGGGGAAGCUGAUCCUAGGUCUGUCCCUAGGGGAAGCUGAUCCUAGGUCUGUCCCUAGGGGAAGCUGAUCCUAGGUCUGUCCCUAGGGGAAGCUGAUCCUAGGUCUGUACCUAGGGGAAACGUUCACCCCAGAGCCUCAUGAUAUGGCAGAAACUAGUGUGUGUUGAUGCCAGAAACAAAAAUAAUAUAACUGUAAAAUAACGAACUGUUUUGUCUGGGUAAAACUACAACAUUUAGUCCCCUCAGCAGCCGGUGUGGAGUCUGAAGUUAUGAAGCGUUACUAGUGUAAGGCAAACGAGCAGAAAAUAAACUCUGUGAUUAAAACGUCUUGGUUGUUUUUCUUCUGUUUUAGCUGGACGUUCUGAAUAUCCGAGUGAUACCUGUUGAUUACGGCACAAUACAGGCAGAUGGACUUUUAGAUUCUUUUAGGACAUGUUUUUCCCCUCAGGUUUUACUUUCUAGGUGUUGUCAAGAAACGAAUAAAAUAACAUCAAUCGAAAUCAAUACAUUUUCAG